CAAUGGUUUGUUUGCAAAUCCAAAUGAUGGAGUAAAUGUGACUUUGUGUGGUGUCCUCGUCAUUUGGAAAAUUGUUCCAAAAACAAGCAAUUAGGUGUUUCAUAGCGUGAUACGCCGCUAUCCUUCCCAAUUUUACUGCGCCUGAUCCAAAGAUAUCAAAGGAACCUGAAUGGAAAGGUUCUAAAUAUAUUGUGUCUCAAGGAAGUCAAACGUUCCACCUGAUGAGUGAAGUUUCAUCACAUGCACUGAGAUGAGGAAAGCUCUUUUGACACAUUGCAUUUGACCCGGGGUUUUGGAGGUCAGUCAUGUUUAGCCACAGCAAAAGCCAGGGACAAAGGAAAAGAUUAUAUAAACGGGUGGAUUACAUGGCCUGUUUGGAAUCUGGAUCUAUCUGGCUGAUGUGUCUGGCAGACACCCAUUUGGAUGCAGAGCAGUAUUGUCUGUGUCAGUGAAGGAGCCCCUGAGAGCAGCACUGUCUGUCUGAGCAUGACUCAUACUAAACAAUAUGCUUUUACCUUCACUAAACCUACGCCACGGGCUAGUCAGUGGUCUGCAAAAAUCAAACCCCCCUGAGUUCCUCCUACAGUCUCAUCAAAAUCUAUCAUUGUGCUCUACAGUAUGUUCUUCCUCUUUUUCUCUCUGAGAAUUUGGAGUCUAGUGAAGAUCCAGGAGAGAAAGUAAUGUAGUUCAAAUGAAUAUGUGACAGUGGAUGUCACAACUGAGCGCUAAAGCUACAAGUAGUGCUAAUAUGACCCUACGAUUUAAAAGCAACUCAUAAAACCAGUAUGUUUUUUUAAUCUUAGGGCCUCAUGAAGGAGUUUUUCUCCCUCCAGCAAGAUUUAACCUAUGGCACUUAGGUGAGAGUUACGUAAAAUUUGCGUGAGCUUGUGAAAAGCAGGUCUGUUUUCUAUUUAGGAUCUCCCAUGGUUCAAUCAAAUUGGCUUUUUUCUUGCGUGCAUAUAUGUGUAAUGGUGCUAAAAGCCUGAGAUUUAUGCUCUGGAAAUAGCUCAAAAUGAUGUGAAGCUUUAGGGUUGGACACAGUUUGUCCUGUUCUUGAUGGCUGGUGACAGUUCAGCAGAUUUUUUAAAAACAAUUAGCAAAUGAGGAAUUUUGAAGGUAUUGAGAUCAUUGAGUUCAGUGCGCCUUGUUGUCUACAGGUAGUUGUCUUUGUAUUCUUAGUAGUAGUUUUUGUAUAGGAAGCGAGACGUGGUUUAUGUGUUGAUUUGUUUGUAACAGAGGAUUGGAAACGUGUACAUAUGGAGGGUUUAAAGAGGGUUGACUGUAUGUUGCUGGGUACUGACUUGGCUAUGUGAUUGUAUAGUGAUGCAGGGGGUCCUGUUGCUCAGGAUCCACACUGAGGGCCUACUGUAUUCACUGGCUCCAGCCCCAGAAUUCCCCUGUGUCCAGGCAUUCCAACACCUAUGCUUUUGAACAUUCUGGAAAGUUGCUAAAACCUUUAUAGGCAAGUUUUUUUUAAAGAAGGAAAAUAAGAUGUUGUGUGAAAUAAGAUUCUCGUGAACCCUCAACCUUUUUUCUUUUUUAAGAGUGGUGUUCCCUACCUUGCCUAUCACUUUGUAUCCAUGUAAUGGAUAUAUUAUAAACAACAUUAAUUGCAUACAUCAGUAAUUUUUGAAGACGAAGAUAAUUCAUAGCUUUGAUUACACAUUGAAAAAGUGGAUUUAGAAGUCAAUCGGUGUAAACUAAUAAAAUUUGUUUUCAUUAACUGAAUGCUAGAAUAAAAUAAUGUAAAUAUUAUAUGAAAAACUUAAACUCAGUGUCAACUAACUAAAAUGUUUAAGUACUAAAAUGACUAAAACUAAAAUAAAGCUAAAAAGUAAUUUUAUGCGUAACUUGUCUUUAUCAGACCAUUUACUUUUGACAUUUUAGUGAGACGGGGGUUUUACACUUUCUCAUGUUUGGUCCUGAUGACGUCUGAAGUGAUGUUAGUACACUGCAUGUGUGUUUGCUCUCCACUCAUUCUCACAGCUCGCUGUUGACUUCUCUCACCGUAAACUCACUCACACAGUCAUCCAUCCACAGGCCAGACAGAAUCAGAGGGAAUGUUAAUAAAAGGCUUAAGCUGGAUUUCCGAUACAAUUACAAAUCAUGCUCUUAAGAACAUAUUAACUUGCGUUGGACAUUACUUAAUAAAGCAAUGCUUGUUUCCCAAGCCAGCAUGUCGAUCACUCGGUAUUACAGUAGAUAGGACUUGAUGCUGUUCGAUUAAUAUUUGUUCAUGUAAUGGAGGUCCAGCCCCGGGUUAGGUCCAUACUGUAGAGUCUCCUGAUCUUGAGACACGUCUGGAAUCCCUAUAUCCUUUCCAUCUCGCUAUGUCUGGUACCUCAGGGUCUCUGUUUCUGAGUAAGCAUUGGGCCGUAGCCUUCGCUCCUGUCAGAGGGAAGCAGAGGAACCGGUCGGUGAGAGCUGGCAGUGUGUCAGGCGGCACUGUUUCCAGCUGCUGUUGCUGAAGAAAAACGAGACUCUGGAAAUAAAACCAGACAGACCCAAGUGCCUUAAUAACUCACAGCAGGGCCUACAGGGAAAAAAAUAACAGAAAAAAAAUAUAUAGAAGGGAGACGGAGACUGAGGCAUGGCCUGAUAGCAAAUUAUAUGAAGGAAAAUAGCAAGCAGUGUUUAUGUUUCAGAAUUUGAAAACACAUUUUACAGGAUCUUGGUGUGUUACAGCCUUUUAAUUUUACCAGCCAGCAAAUUCAUUUUAACAUUUGACAUGAUGUAAAGACAAUAAUGUCAUGGUUUGACUGACAGGUCAAAUUUAAAUAAAAAGCAAAAGAAAGAAACGUUGGCACUCUACUCUGCCAGUUGCUUCUAAUUUGCACAGGUAUUUUUUUCCCCCUCGUAUGUCAUUUCUUUAUGUGUUUUCAAACGGAAGGAAAUUUUAGCUCACACGGUCAGCUAUAUUACAGAAAUACUAUAGCAGAUGAAGUUAAAGGUAUAGUUUGCCCAGAAAUUAAAAUUGUCAUCAAUUGCACACUUUCAUGUCAUUCCAAACUGUAUGAUUUUAUUUUAUUUUUUUCUUGUGGAACACAGAAAAAUAUAUUUUGAAAAAUGUGCUGGUUGCUCUUUUCUGUGCAAAUACAGUGCAUGUGGAUUGGGGCUUUUAAGAUUCAAAAAGGACAUGACAGUACAUAAAAGUAACAAAAGUAUUGCAUACUACUUGAACACUAUAUUUAAGGUCUGCUGAAGUUCAACCAUAGCUUUGUGUUAGAAACAGAACAGAGUCAGCGAGUUAAACUUGAGAAAUCAAAUCCAAUUUGUGAAUGAGUCAUUCAGGUUUUGUGAACUGAAUCAACUGAUUUGUUGCGAAGAUCUGAUUUAAAAGAAUGAUCCGUUCAGAAAUCAGACAUCACUACUUAUUACAUGAACUUACCAAAGAGAGUUAGGGCAGAUACCAAGAUCACACUAACCUAUCAUAUGAUUUUUGAUAUUCAUAUGAUAUGAUCAUAUGAAUUUUGCA